AUCUUUCUAGUAUAAACUCAUUAUAAGUGACUUCCAAUCACUAGAUCCAAGUUAAACUCCUGGGAAAGAUA
rnacentral:tRNA from 1 species